rnacentral:tRNA from 2 species
GCGGAUAUGGCGGAACUGGCAGACGCGCUAGAUUUAGGAUCUAGUUCCUUCGGAGUGCAGGUUCGAUUCCUGUUAUCCGCA